rnacentral:rRNA from 1 species
GACGAACGCUGGCGGCGUGCCUAAUACAUGCAAGUAGAACGCACAGUUUAUACCGUAGCUUGCUACACCAUAAACUGUGAGUUGCGAACGGGUGAGUAACGCGUAGGUAACCUGCCUGGUAGCGGGGGAUAACUAUUGGAAACGAUAGCUAAUACCGCAUAAUAUUAAUUAUUGCAUGAUAAUUGAUUGAAAGAUGCAAUUGCAUCACUACCAGAUGGACCUGCGUUGUAUUAGCUAGUAGGUGAGGUAACGGCUCACCUAGGCGACGAUACAUAGCCGACCUGAGAGGGUGCUCGGCCACACUGGGACUGGGACACGGCCCAGACUCCUACGGGAGGCAGCAGUAGGGAAUCUUCGGCAAUGGGAGAAAGUCUGACCGAGCAACGCCGCGUGAGUGAAGAAGGUUUUCGGAUCGUAAAGCUCUGUUGUAAGAGAAGAACGGGUGUGAGAGUGGAAAGUUCACACUGUGACGGUAUCUUACCAGAAAGGGACGGCUAACUACGUG